rnacentral:snRNA from 1 species
GUGCUCACUUGGGCAGCAAAUAUACUAAAAUUGGAAUGAUGCAGAAAUUAGCAUGGCCCCGGUGCAAGGAUGACAGGCAGAUCUGUGAAAUGUUCCAUUUUUAA